GAUCCUGGCUCAGAAUCAACGCUGGCGGCGUGCCUAACACAUGCAAGUCGAACGGGAAAGGGGAGCAAUCCCUGAGUAUAGUGGCGACCGGGUGAGUAACACGUGACUAACCUGCCCUUGAGUGGGGGAUAACCUCGGGAAACCGGGGCUAAUACCGCAUAACAUCUUCGGGAUGAGAAGCCGGAGAUCAAAGGAGCGAUUCGCUCGAGGAGGGGGUCGCGGCUGAUUAGCUAGUUGGCGGGGUAACGGCCCACCAAGGCUUUGAUCGGUAGCCGGCCUGAGAGGGCGCACGGCCACACUGGAACUGAAACACGGUCCAGACUCCUACGGGAGGCA
rnacentral:rRNA from 1 species